UCUACAGUCUGAUGAUCUUGACCUUGUGAUUCUUUUCACACACACGCUAAUCUUAGCUCUGGCUAGCUCAGGACUACAAUAUUUUAGCUUUAGUAUUUUCUUCUUCUUUUAUCAUCCAGGU